UCCACUAUUUUGUUACUGUAUAGAAUAUACUAGUGAUAAUGAUUGGUCUACUAGUGUAAUACCUCUGGACCAGUAUCAAGAUCAACUAAGAAGAAGGAUACUGAGUGAUUGGGAGAAUUUAGGAUUAAGCAAAGAGGUUCAAUUACUCAGAGGACACCUACAAGAAAGAGAGAGAGAGUUCUAUCAGAAACAGGAGCAGAUACAGCAAGAUCGAGAGAAAGAGCAACAACUGCUUCUUCAAGAAAAGGCAACACUUAGUCAGCAACUUGAUGAUGCUACCACUCUCCUUGAGCAAGCAGAAAAGGAUAAAUCAACUGUUGAAUUAGAAUAUUAUAAGAAGCUCAAAAUUAAAGAUGCUCAAUUAUUGGAAGAGAAGACACAAGUAGAGAAGAAGAAACAGAUUAUUACUGAAGAUUAUGAGAAACUGAAACUCAAAAUUGCCGAAC